rnacentral:lncRNA from 10 species
CUCAGCCACAGCCUGUCUCAAAAAUUAAAAAGAGAGAGAGAGAGAGAGAGAGAUGCUGCUUUCUGAUCCAGAGGACAUACAUGCCCCACUGGCAAGACAGAAGAUCCCCAAUUCGGACAGCUACCUGGAGAAGUUGACCUCUAAGCUGAAAACUCAAGGAUGAACGUUGCCAGGUGACAGGGAGGAAAUUACCAGAAAUGGUGCUCUGGGCAAAGGGAACAGCAUGUACAAAGGUCAGGAGAUCAUGCUUUUUUCCGAAAAUGCAAGUGUUUGAGACCAUACUGUAGGAAGUGGGAGAGGAAGUGAUGAGCUCAGAGAAAAAGACAGAAAGGCAGAGAGCCCACUUAAAGGAAUGGCUAAUUAACCACCCCCAUUCCACUCUUCCCGCCCACCUCCCCACCCUCAUCCCACUCCUAGGACCAUGACUCAGUCAUGAGGUUUUCACACUCUCUCACUUUAAGCUGGGCAGUUUCUGUUUCUCAGCCAAUGUGUCAUUCAUCAGCAGAUCAUGUCAUCCCCCCCAAUCCACAGCAUGGUUCCAGAAUAUCAGCUGAUCCUCGUGAAUUGGACCGCAAAUCUUCCAGAGUUUUUUUUUUGUUUUUUUUUUUUUCUUUUUUGAGAUGAGGUCUUGCUCUUGUCACCCAGGCUGGAGUGCAGUGGCGCGAUCUCGGCUCACUGCCUCCGCCUCCCGAGUUCAAGCGAUUCUGCUGCCUCAGCCUCCUGAGUAGCUGGGAUUACAGGUGCCUGCCACCUACACCCAGCUAAUUUUUGUAGUUUUAGUAGAGAUGGGGUUUUGCCAUGUUGGCCAGGCUAGUCUCAAACUCCUGACCUUUUGAUCUGCCCUCCUCAGCCUCCCAAAGUGCUGGGACUAUAGACGUGAGCCGCCACACUCGGCCGCUUCCAGGGUCUUACAAGGCGAAAAAAAUCUUACAUUGAAAAUCAAGGGAGCAUUAAUAAAUAUUAUAGCACUGGGUGCAUCGCCCACAGAUAGGCAGGCAAGUUUUGUUCAACUGGAGGCACUUUAUGACUAGGUCUAAAGUCGCCAUUUAUCUGAGAUUGUCCUGUCUCUAGCAGCUGGGUCUCAUUUCAUGCUCAGAGGAAACUUACGAGGAAAAUGCUUUUGCUAUCCCCACUUCACAGAAGAGAACUGAAGCCUAGAAUGUAAGACACUCACCUCAAAUCUCAUAUACCUGAUCACUUUUUUUGAAACAGGGUCUCAAGCAGCCACCCCGACUGGAGUGCAGAGGCUGGAACACAGUUCACUGCAGCCUUGACCUCCCUGGGAUCAGGUGAUCCUCCCACCUUAGCCUCCCGAUUAGCUAGGACUACAGGUAUGCACCACCACACCUAGCUAAUUUCUGUAUUUUUUCUUCCAAGACGGAGUCUUACUAAGUUGCCCAGGCUGCAGUGCAGUGGUGCAAUCUCAGCUCACUGCAUGAGAUCGUCUGCUGGGUUCAAGUGAUUGUCUUGCCUCAGCCUCCCAAGUAGCUGGGAUUACAGGCAUGUGCCACCACACCCGACUAAUUUUUGUAUUUUUAGGUAUUUUUAGGAGAGACGGGGUUUCGCCAUGUUGACCAGGCUGGUGUCAAACUCCUGACUUCAGGUGAUCCACACACUUUGGCCUCCCAAAGUGCUGGGAUUACAGGUGUGAGCCACUGCAUCCGGCCGCCUGGCUAAUUUUUAAAAAUUAUUUGUAGAAAUGAGGUCCUGCUAUGUUGUCUAAGCUGGUCUCUAACUCCUGGGCUCAAGAGAUCCUCUCACCUCGGCCUCCCAAAAUGCUAGGAGUACAGGCGUGAGCCACUGUGCCCAGUCAUGGUCUUUGUUUAAUCUUUACAAUAGAGCAUCCCCAUUUACGAUAUGGGAAAACAGAGGCCCAGAGAGCUGAAGCAACUUGCCAGAGACAUAGCAAAAGUAAGGGAGUGCUCCUACACUGCUGACAGGAAUGUAAAGUGGGGCAGCCACUUUAGAAAACAGGGUAGUAGUUCCUCAAAAGACUAAACAAGCUGGGUGCAGUGAUCCAAGUGCUUGUAAUCCCAGCACUUUGGGAAACUGAGACGGGAGGAUCACUUGAACUUGGGAGUUCGAGACCAGCCUGGGCAACCUCGAUAGUGAGACCCCGUCUCUAUUGAAAAAAGAAAAAAAAGUGUAAACAUAGGGUUACCAUAUCAUCCAGCAAUUUUCCCCCUAGGUAUAUGUCCAAGCAUUGAAAACAUAUGUCCUCACAAAAUUUGUACAUGAAAGUUCACUGCAGUAUUAUUCAUUAUAGCUAAAAGUGAAACCAAUCCAAAUGUCCAACAACUGAUAGAUGGAUAUAUAUAUUUUAGACAGAGUCUCCCUCUGUCACUCAGGCUGGAGUGCAGUGGUGCAAUCUCGGCUCACGGCAGCCUCCACCUCCCGGGUUCAAUCAAUUCUCCUGUCUCAGCUUCCCAAGUAGCUGGUAUUACAGGUGCCCACCACCACACCCAGCUAAUUUUUCUAUUUUUAGUAGAGACGGGGUUUCACCACGUUGACCAGACCAGUCUUGAACUCUUGACCUCAGGUGAUCCGCCUGCCUCAGCUUCCCAAAGUACUGGGAUUACAGGUGUGCGCCACCACGCCCAGCCUAUAAAUGAGUAAAUAAAUGUAUGUAUCCAUACAAUGGAGUCUUACUGAGCAAUAAAAAGAAAUAGAGGCUGACACUUACUACAAUACAGAUUAACUGGAAAAACAUGUUAAACAAAAGAACUGGCCGGGUGCGGUGGCUCAUGCCUGUAAUCCCAGCACUUUGGGAGGCAGAGGCGGGCAAGAGUUCAAGACCAGCAUGGGCGACACAGUGAAACCCCAUCUCUACUAAAAUACAAAACAUUAGCUGGGCGUGGCAGCGCGCACCUGUAGUCCCAACUACUUGGGAGGCUGAGGCAGGAGAAUUGCUUGAACCUGGGAGGCGGAGGUUGCAGUGAGCUGAGAUCGCACCACUGCACUCCAGCCUGGGUGACAGAGCGAGACUCCGUCUCCAUAAAACAAACAAAAAAACGAGCAAAACACAAAAAACAAAUGAACAGCAUAAAGGAGCUUAUGUUACAUGAUUUCAUUUAUGUGAAAUGUCCAGUAUAGGCAAAUCUGUAGAGGCAGAAAGUAGAUUAGUGGUUGCCAGGGCAGGGGGACUUGGGAGAAAAUGGGGAUUGACUGCUAACGUGUAUGGGGUUUCUUUUGGGAGUGGUGAAAAUGCUCUAAAAUUGAUUGGGGACUUGGUUGCUCAACUCCAAAGGUAUGAAAAUGAAAACCCAUGAAAUCAUACACUUUAAAUAGGUAAAUUAUGUGGUAUCUGAAUUAUAUCUCAGUAAAGCUCUUACAGGAAAAUGUUUUAAAAAGUAAUAAUAAUAGGGGCCAGGUGCACUGGCUCACGCCUGUAAUCCCAGCACUUUGGGAGGCCGAGGUGGGUGGAUCACCUGAGGUCAGGAGUUCGAGACCAGCCUGACCAACAUGGAGAAACCCCACCUCUACUAAAAGUGCAAAAUUAGCCGGACAUGGUGGCACACACCUGUAAUCCCAGCUACUUGGGAGGCUGAGGCAUGAGAAUCGCUUGAACCCAGAAGGUGGAGGUUGCAGCAAGCCGAGACAGCACCACUGCGCUCCAGCCUGGAAAACAAGAGGAAAACUUUGUCUCAAAAUAAUAAUAAUAAUAAUAAUAAUAAUAAUAAUAAUAAUAAUAGGCCCCAGCACAAUGGCUCACGCCUGUAAUCCCAGCACUUUGGGAGGCCAAGGCAGGUGGAUGACUUGAGGUCAGGAGUUCGAGACCAGCCUAGCCAGCAUGGCGAAACCUGGUCUCCACUAAAAAUACAAAAAUUAGCCUGGUGUGGUGGUGCAUGCCUGUGGUCCCAGCUACUUGGGAGGCUGAGAGAGAAGAAUCUCUUGAACCCGGGAGGUAGAGGCCACAGUGAGCCGAGAUCACACCACUGCACUCCAGGCUGGGUGACAGGGCAAGACUCCAUCUUAAUAAUAAUAAUAAUAAUAAUAAUAAUAAUAAUGGGGUAGGCUGUGAUCAUGACCUAAACCAUGAUCUAUGUUUGAACAUCUGCACUUACUAUGUGCUCAACUAGCCUGAGCCAAAAUGAGCAAGGAGGGGAGCAGAAUACAUUAGCUCACACAGUUGAAAAAUCCAGGAGUAUUUCAGGUAUGGCUGGAUCCAGGAGCUUAAGUAAUGUCAGUGGGACUUUGUCUUGCUCUAUUUCUCCAGUUCAGAUUUGCCCUGUGCUGCCUUCCUUUUCAAGUAGGUGACAAAAAUGGCCUUGGCAGCUCUAGACUGCUGAGCUCUUACUACCCUGAGGGAGUAUCUUUUUCCUUAUAGUGUUUAGUAAAGAUCUGAUGGAAGGUUCACACUGAUCUGACUGGGGUCACUUUUGAAUUAAUCGCCAUAGCCAGGAUAAUUUUCUGCUCUGGUGGGCUAAGACUGGGUGAUACAACCCAUUCUAGAGCCAGGUUUGUGGUCAGCUUCACCCAAACCAUAUAGAUUAUAGGGGUGGGGUAGUUCCCCAAGGGAAAAUUAGGAUUCUGGGCAGGCUCAAGUCACAGAUACCCACAGUAUUCGGACAGUGUGGACCCUGCUGCCCAGGUUUGACCCUUGCUUUUUCCACAUGCCAGCUAUGUGACCUUGGCAAAGUUCUUUUUUUUUUUCUUUUUUUUUUUUUUUCCUGAGAUGGAGUCUCAUUCUGUCACCCAGGCUGGAGUGCAGUUGUGUGAUCUUGGCUCACUGCGACCUCUGCCUCCGGGGUUCAAACGAUUCUCCUGCCUCAACCUCUCAAGUAGCUGGAUUACAGGUGCCUGCCACCACACCUGGCUAAUUUUUGUAUUUUUUGGUAGAGAUGGUGUUUCACCAUGUUGGGCAGGCUGGUCUCAAACCCCUGACCUCAGGUAAUCUGCUCGCCUCAGCCUCCCAAAGUGCUGGUAUUACAGGUGUGAGCCACUGUGCCCAGCCUCCCCAGAUUAUUAUUAUUAUUAUUAUUUUUUUUUUUUGAGAUGUAGUCUCACUGUGUCACCCAGGCUAGAGUACAGUGGCGCAAUCUUGGUUUACUGCAACCUCCGCCUCCCAGGUUCAAGCGAUUCUCCUGCCUCAGGCUCCUGGGUAGCCGGGAUUACAGGCGCAAGCCACCACGCCAGGCUAAUUUUUGUAUUUUAGUUAGAGACGAGGUUUCACCAUGUUGGCCAGGAUGGUCGCGAUCUCCUGACCUCGUGAUCCACCUGCCUCGGCCUCCCAAAGUGCUGGGAUUACAGGUGUGAGCCACCGCACCCGGCCCCCCAGAUUAUUCUUUACAAUGGACAAUCCACAGCCACAAAGCUAAGAGCCAGGUGCUUGGUUUUUCAAUUUUUUUUCUUUCUUUUCUUUCU